AUAUACACGGAAGCAGAAUGUUGUA
rnacentral:piRNA from 1 species